CAUGUAGGCGGUCUGCUAAGUUCGGAGUGACAGUCACCAGCUUAACUGGUGAAGUGUUUCGAAAACUGGCUGACUUGAGAACGAGCGAGGGACAUGGAAUUCCGGGUGGAGCAGUGAAAUGCGUAGAGAUCCGGAGGAACACCAAAGGCGAAGGCAGUGUCCUGGCUCGUUUCUGACGCUGAGGUGCGAAAGCCAGGGGAGCGAACGGGAUUAGAUACCCCGGUAGUCCUGGCCGUAAACGAUGACCACUAGGCGUGGGAGGGAUCGACCCUUCCGUGCCGUAGUCAACACAUUAAGUGGUCCGCCUGGGGAGUACGGUCGCAAGACUAAA
rnacentral:rRNA from 1 species